GCCGGGAUAGCUCAAUGGUAGAGCAACUGUUUUGUAAACAGUAGGUUGUAGGUUCGAGUCCUAUUCCCGGCU
rnacentral:tRNA from 1 species